GGGGGCGGAGGGGGGGAAUUACCAUUAGCAGUUGAAGUGGUAGGAAAUUUUUACAUAGGAGAGUAUGGUGAUCAUAUUUGCAUUUUAGAAAAUAAUGGAUAGCAGUUUGUUAGGGGAACAAAGGACAGAGACAGGGAGACUAUUUAAAACAUUAAUAAAAAAUGCCAGUGACAGAUGAUGAGGCAUCUACCUGAUGGGAACGGAGAAGAGGAGAUGGAUUCAGAAACUACUUAUGAGAGGCAGGCGGUCCAAGGCUGAUGCCCAAAGAAGCCAUCAAGACCCGUGCUACUUCCAGCUCCUUCUGUCCUCAUAAUCAUAGAUGAUUGCUCCACAUCCAGGGUGGAAUGCAAUUGUAUGAACACAAGGCUCACUACUACAACCUCUACCUCCUGGGCUCAAGCGAUCCUCUCACCACAGCCUCCCGAGUAGCUAGGACGGCAGCACCUAACACCAGUACUCAGUUAAAUUUUUUGCUGAAUAAAUCAAUGAAUGGAGAGGUAAAGAGGAACCAGAAGUUGGGGUUACGGAAGUCACUGAUGGAAGAGUUUCAAGAUAGUAGAAGUGGUCAGCCCUGUUAAGUGACAAGCCAAGGACUGAAGAAAGGCUGGCAGAUUUGGCAAUCAGAUGAAGUGACCUGACCAAAGAGCAGCUUGUGUGAAGUAGUGAGGACAGGCGCUGGUCUGC
rnacentral:lncRNA from 1 species